GAUGAACGCUAGCGACAGGCUUAACACAUGCAAGUCGAGGGGCAGCGGGGGAGUAGCAAUACUCCCGCCGGCGACCGGCGCACGGGUGAGUAACACGUAUGAAACCUGCCCGUAGCAGGGGGAUAAGCGGAAGAAAUUCCGUCUAAUACCGCGUAACAACCCAUGGAGGCAUCUCCGUGGGUUUAAAGGAAGCGAUUCCGGCUACGGAUGGUCAUGCGUCGCAUUAGCUAGUUGGCGGGGUAACGGCCCACCAAGGCGACGAUCAGUAGCCGGCCUGAGAGGGUGAACGGCCACAUUGGGACUGAGACACGGCCCAA
rnacentral:rRNA from 1 species